AGGGACAGAAUUAAUCCGAGAUCUGAGUUGGUCAGCGUGUGACAUCCACGAGGAAGAUGUUCUUCAAUAGGACAGCGUUCGGCUAGGAACAUAAGGAGCUGAGCACUUAGCACAAGAAAUGUUUCAGAUAUCUGCUAAUAUGAAUCAACCGAAAUGGGCGACGUUUAGCAUUUUGAAAUUAUGUUUUACAUUUAUGGAUGGAGAACCAGAAGAUAUAGCUAACAAUCUGUAAAAUCCUCAAUGCAUAUCGCCAAAAAAUGUGACUACGAAUACGGAUCUUCAGAACUAAACUAAUAAAUAAUACAAAAUCCAUUUCCCCUGAGUGGAUUCUUUAUGUGUGAAUAACGACAUGCCAUCAACCAUCAGAAGACCGGCUACAUUCUCAACUCCUUGAUGAAUUGACAAUUUAUACAGGAAAUGGAAAAUAAAGAUGACAUCGAAAUAGAAAUACAAAUACACCUAUAAUGCAGAUUCAAGCCAUAAUUACCUGGCAACAUUUAUCGAGACAGAUGCAACAUUUCCAGCGGUUUCUCAAUAUAAGAAUAAAGGAAAUCGAAACGCGUAUCAUUGGAUCAACUUAUC